rnacentral:ncRNA from 2 species
UAGAGCCACUAGGGGAGCAACAUGCUGAGACAAGGGAGAACCUUGGACCCUUAGCACCUGAUCUGGGUAAUACCGGCGUAGGAAAGUGGCGGAGACGUGAA